rnacentral:rRNA from 2 species
GAAUUGACGGGGGCCCGCACAAGCGGUGGAGCAUGUGGUUUAAUUCGAUGCAACGCGAAGAACCUUACCUGGUCUUGACAUCCACGGAAGUUUUCAGAGAUGAGAAUGUGCCUUCGGGAACCGUGAGACAGGUGCUGCAUGGCUGUCGUCAGCUCGUGUUGUGAAAUGUUGGGUUAAGUCCCGCAACGAGCGCAACCCUUAUCCUUUGUUGCCAGCGGUCCGGCCGGGAACUCAAAGGAGACUGCCAGUGAUAAACUGGAGGAAGGUGGGGAUGACGUCAAGUCAUCAUGGCCCUUACGACCAGGGCUACACACGUGCUACAAUGGCGCAUACAAAGAGAAGCGACCUCGCGAGAGCAAGCGGACCUCAUAAAGUGCGUCGUAGUCCGGAUUGGAGUCUGCAACUCGACUCCAUGAAGUCGGAAUCGCUAGUAAUCGUGGAUCAGAAUGCCACGGUGAAUACGUUCCCGGGCCUUGUACACACCGCCCGUCACACCAUGGGAGUGGGUUGCAAAAGAAGUA